CACGUAGGCACCAAGCGUUGUCCGGAUUUAUUGGGCGUAAAGAGCUCGUAGGCGGCAUGACAAGUCACUUGUGAAAUCUCCGGGCUUAACUCGGAACGGCCAAGUGAAACUGUCAAGCUAGAGUGCGGAAGGGGCAAUCGGAAUUCUUGGUGUAGCGGUGAAAUGCGUAGAUAUCAAGAGGAACACCUGAGGUGAAGACGGGUUGCUGGGCCGACACUGACGCUGAUGCGCGAAAGCCAGGGGAGCAAACGGG
rnacentral:rRNA from 1 species